GCCCACCUGCCCAGCCCCAAGGUUCCUCAGCCACUUGCCCUGUUCGCCUUCUUCUCUCCUGCUUGCCUUCCCCUUCGGGCUACAAUCGGAACAGCCUGCAAACUGUGACACAGCUCCUUCUCUCCCCGCCUCUCAGCGGGUGGGCAGGGCUUCCAGAGAGGCCUUCCUGCAGGCCUCGCUGAAGCCUGAACUUGAGUGCCAGUUGCUCUUACCCACCACAGUUCUCUCUGCACAGAACAGAGCAUCCUUUGCCUGCUUACUGGAGAUAUGAUGUGUUCCUUUUUGUGAUUGCCAACGUGACAGAGGUUGUUAUCCACCUACGUACUUGGAUGAUGAGAGAUGCACACCCAUGCUAGCAAAGGAGAUGGAGGUGCCUGUGCAGGCAAAGGGAAUCCGUGCGCCAAAGCCAGAUUUUUCCUGGGGAGCCAGCAAUCUUUGGGUCAGCUCCUGGACUAGAGAUGUUGAUUGGGGAAGCAUGCGGACCAGGCAACAUAGUUUCACGAAACCACAGUUUUCUAUUGAGGUAAAUAACUGAAAAGCUCAGCCAGCCUUCACUGCUUCUGAAGAAAGCAAUACAGCUAGCCUGAGACUACGCCUACUGAUCAACAUACAACAGUAUUAUGAAGCUUGUGGGACAUCAUGUUAGUCUUCUUGCAAAAAAAUGUACUGAAGGUUAAUAUGUGCUUUAUUUGAUAGACUGAAUGUGUAUUUGUUCAUCUAUUCUAAACAAAUAAGGUAGCAAUCUUUUAAAUAUUAUACUUGAUUAAAAUUAAAAUAAGCAUGA